rnacentral:tRNA from 1 species
CAAGCCAUGCUUAGAGCAUUUUGUUAUUUACAUUAAUGAUAUAUUUGUGCGAUUCAAAUUGGUUUGA